rnacentral:lncRNA from 1 species
GGGCCAGUGGGUGGAGGAGGAGAGGACGUGCCGGGAAAAGAAUGCAGAAAGGAGAUUUUUUUUGGCCACAGAGUUUUUGCUAAAAGCAGCUAGGAAGCCCCACGGCUCCAGUGUGCGUGAACUCCUGGUAAUUUCCUUGGGGAAUCCCGCCUCAGAGAACCUCUACCCCGAGAAUUAGGAGGAAGCUGAGCUAGGUUCAACAUUUUUCAAAAUAAAAAGUUGGUAGAAUAAUAGGAAGCCAUGAGGACCAAGAAGCUCACAUUUCCAAGGCUUUCUAAGUUUCACCUUGAAGCAAGAUACAUCAUAAAGCAUUGUCUAGGUACAACUUGCACUUUCCUGUCCAAGCCUCAGACCCUGUUCUUCAUCUGGGCCCACAGAGCAACAGCUUCCACUUUUGUGGCCAAAGAAAAAUGCUAACCAGCUUGUAAUUGCUGUAAGGAGAUGGAGUUUCACUUACAUCCAGGCUGGAAUGCAGUGGCGUGAUCUUGGCUCACUGGAACCUCCACCUCCUGGGUUCAAGCAAUUCUCGUGCUUCAGCCUCCCGAGUAGCUGGGAUUAUAGGUACGCUCUUUCAUGCCCAGCUAAUUUUUGUAUUUGUAGUACAGAUGGGGUUUUGCCAUGUUGGCCAGGCUGGUCUUGAACUCCUGGCCUCAAGUGAUCUGCCUGCCUCAGCCUCCCAAAGUGCUGGGAUUACAGGUGUGAGCCACCAUGCCCAACCUCAUUUAUUUAUUCGUGUGUGUGUGUGUGUGUGUGUGUGUGUGUGUGUGUGUAUAACUGCCUAAUAGCUUAUACCUUAAGAGAGCCUUAAAUAGUAUAAGAAAGAAAAGAUAAACAAAGGGCAAGACUGUCACAUCUGUGUGGCUACAAAAGGAAAAUAUUCCUUACACAGCAUAUUUCCUACAUGAUUGACAAAGCUAGCAAUCUGCAUUCAAAAGCAUGUAGCCCAUGUACCACAGGCUACAUACAGGCUCUCAGGCUAAUGAUCAGAAUAACAAUUAUGAGUAACUUUUCCCGAAUGCUUACUAAGUGCCAGGCACUACACUAAGUGUUGUUUUGUUUUGUUUUGUUUUUGAGACAGAGUCUCACUGUGUCACCCAGGCUGGAGUGCAGUGGUGAGAUCUUGGAUCACUGCAACCUCCUCCCAGGUUCAAGCGAUUCUCCUGCCUCAGCCACCCAAGUAGCUGGGAUUACAGGCGUGUACCACCAUGCCCAGCUACUUUUUGUGUUUUUAGUAGAGACCGGGUUUCACUAUGUUGGCCAGGAUGGUCUAAAACUCCUGACCUAAGGUGAUCCACCUGCCUCAGCCUCCCAAAGUGCUGGGAUGACAGGCAUGAGCCACUGUGCCCGGCCUUACACUAAGUGUUUUGCAUAAUGUUAUAUGCCUUGUUUAAUCCUCAUUUUUCGAAGGAGGCUCCUGAGACUCACAGAAGUGAGCUGCACAGAGUCAUGUGAUUGAUAAGUGGUUAAGCUGAGGUUCAAAUACAGGCCACUGAAUUUCAAACUAAAAACCCACAAUCAUUCCAGGCACCACCUUAAAGUUCUACUUAUAAGGGGCCAGCGAGUGGCACACGGCCCAGGACGAAAAAGUGAGUGAGGAUAUUCAAACACAAGUCACAUCACGACAUGGCAAAAACAGAAAAACUUUGAUGUUCUCCAUCUGUUCUUCAGACAGAGAGCUCAAACAUAAGAGAGUAGGGCUCAACUUUAAGACAGAAACUGCCCAGCACCAUCUGCAGGUGGAUUGCAUUGUUUGGGGAGGCAGUCACAUGACCCAGAUCUGCUUCCUGCCUCUGCUUGCAGAAGUCUAACACUCUGAGGGCUAACACCAAUCCUGCUUGCAGGAUUCUAACACUCUGAGGCUCCGAGGUUGUUAAAGUCCCUGUCUCCCACACUACCAACCCCACUGUCAGCUUGACCAUGAGUGAAUGCCUUCACCAAUGUAUAGAAAGGACCUUGCUAAUAGGAAAAAAGAUGAGCCUGGAGCCUAAACAGGAAGGCUUUCUCUUCCACGGAUUGGAAGCACCGCUAAAGAAGCUGGCUGACUUGUGAGGUUCGGGGAUAACGAAGUAUGAAUGUACAGCUCCGGGUACUGUGCUUGGAGCAUAUGAAACAUGCAACACAUGACUAGUGUUGUUAUACAGUUUUCAUUCCCACAGUCUCUAACAAAAUAUAGUCAUACGUCUUUUUUUAAAAAGACGUGUUGGAUUCUAGUGCUGAGAAGAAGAGAAGCUACCACUAAUAUAGCAUGAGAGAGUGGCAGACAGAGAGAUCCCUGGGGACCCACAUUUUUCAGGGAGAAACCCCAAUUCUUUCUGCCCUUCAAGCAGUGGCACACAGCAGAAAGUGAAAUCAUUCAUUGGACAGCUUGAUUGGAAACUGUGAUUUAUAUUACAGGGAUCUUUUUGCCACAAUAGCCUAAUCUAAAUCAGGCCAUUAUUUCAUACAAGCCAUUAUUUCAUAAAGUUUUACAUUUUAACCUGUAACUCAGGUACCAAGUUUCCUCAAGCUACACAUUCCCACUCAUCAACAAUAUCAUUGGUUUGACAUUAUACAUACAAAAAGAGCAAUUUUUUAAGAAAAACAGUUAUAAGCUGAUACAUCAUUUUCAACACACCCUAUAUAUAAAGUUGCUGUGUUUCAGAGGUUAUUUGGAUUAUUUUAAUCUAUUGAAAAAAAAAGCUAACACGACACUUUUGGACAGUUCAGCCUCCUUUUUCUUUGCUUUGAUGGUGUUCUUUUCUCCUUUUCUCCCUCUAGUUUUUAUCUCUGUUCAAAAGCAAGAUUUUAAAUCCUGUAAGUAGAAAUUGGAACAACUUCUGGGCUUUGCACAGCACCUAGCUAGUUCUUCAGGAUAUUCUUUGUUCUAUUUUUUAACAUACAUUUUUAAAGGUAAUAAUAAACUAAACUUUGACCUUUAAAAUCUUCAAAUAAAUCAAUCAGCAGAGAAAUAACUAGGUAAAGAGCAGAAUGGAAAACAAUCAAACAAGGCUGGAAAGUCAUAGAAAAUUCCUAAAAUUGUGUGUUUGUAUGUGUGUGUGUGUGUGUGUGCAUGUUGUUGUUCUUAUUGUUCAUUUGUAUAUGUGUGAUUUGAGCAACAUUUGAGAAAAAAAAAAUAAGAAAAUGAGGAA